GGGGAAUCUUGUCGCAGGAGCGGUGGCACCUGCCGGCCGAUUCAUCGGAAAAGUGCCAGCGUCCUUUGACAAGACUCCCU
rnacentral:sRNA from 1 species